UGGUUUGGGCUACCACUUACAGAUGGACCCGCGGCGCAUUAGCUAGUUGGUGAGGUAAAGGCUCACCAAGGCAACGAUGCGUAGCCGACGUGAGAGGGUGAUCGGCCACACUGGGACUGAGACACGGCCCAGACUCCUACGGGAGGCAGCAGUAGGGAAUUUUCCGCAAUGGACGAAAGUCUGACGGAGCAACGCCGCGUGAGUGAUGAAGGUUUUCGGAUCGUAAAGCUCUGUUGUUAGGGAAGAACAAGUACCGUUCGAAUAGGGCGGU
rnacentral:rRNA from 1 species